GGAUUGACACAUCGGUCGUGCCCUAAGGGGUAUGAACUGGUGUAGUCAAUUUCUCACCUUCUGGAGAACCGCGAUGCCCUUAAUUGGGUGUCACGGGGAACCAGGACCUUUACUUUGAAAAAAUUAGAGUGUUCAAAGCAGGCCUUUGCUCGAAUACGUUAGCAUGGAAUAAUAGAAUAG
rnacentral:rRNA from 1 species